AGAGCCAGCUGGGCGGCCGCGUUGCGUAAGCACCGAGGAACGUCCGGGCUCCACAGGGAACGGUGGUGGGUAACACCCACCCGGGGUGACCCGCGGGAAAGCGCCACAGAAAAGAAACCGCCGCAAGGUAAGGGUGAAAAGGUGGUGUAAGAGACCACCGCGGCGCCGGUGACGGCGCUGGCACGGCAAGCCCCACCGGGAGCAAGAUCAGGCAGCGCGCAUUCGAGGUAUCCCGCCGAGCGCGCGGGUGGAUCGCUACAGCGCUACGGCGCGAGCAGUGGCCCGGCAACGAGUCACGUAGAUGGAUGGUCGCCACCGGGUAGAUAUAAGCGCUUGGCGCCAAUAUCUACCCGGUACAGAACCCGGCGUACAGGCUGGCUCUUUCG
rfam:Actinobaculum suis strain T311 R9-3-1_contig_32, whole genome shotgun sequence.